rnacentral:rRNA from 1 species
CGAUGAAGUUCCUUCGGGAAUGGAUUAGUGGCGAACGGGUGAGGAACACGUGAGAAACCUGCCUUUCAUUCUGGGAUAACACCGGGAAACUGUAGCUAAUACCGGAUACUUUCCUCGGUGGGCAUCCACUGAGGAAGAAAGAAUUUCGGUCAAGGAUGAGCUCGCGACCUAUCAGCUAGUUGGUGAGGUAAAGGCUCACCAAGGCGACGACGGGUAGCCGGCCUGAGAGGGUGACCGGCCACACUGGGACUGAGACACGGCCCAAACUCC